CAAUGGGCGAAAGCCUGACGGAGCAAUACCGCGUGAGGGAGGAAGGCUCUUGGGUUGUAAACCUCAAAACUUAGGGAAGAAGAAAAUGACGGUACCUAAUAUAAGCAUCGGCUAACUCCGUGCCAGCAGCCGCGGUAAUACGGAGGAUGCAAGCGUUAUCCGGAAUCAUUGGGCGUAAAGCGUCCGUAGGUGGCAUUUCAAGUCUGCUGUCAAAGACCGAAGCUCAACUUCGGGAAGGCGGUGGAAACUGAAAAGCUAGAGUAAAGUAGGGGUAGAGGGAAUUCCUAGUGUAGCGGUGAAAUGCGUAGAGAUUAGGAAGAACACCAGUGGCGAAGGCGCUCUACUGGACUUAAACUGAC
rnacentral:rRNA from 1 species